rnacentral:rRNA from 1 species
AGAGUUUGAUCAUGGCUCAGAUUGAACGCUGGCGGCGUGCUUAACACAUGCAAGUCGAGCGGUAACAGGCGUAGCAAUACGUGCUGACGAGCGGCGAACGGGUGCGUAAUACAUGGGAAUCUGCCCUUUGGUGGGGAAUAACCCGGCGAAAGCCGGGCUAAUGCCGCAUGAGAUCUUCGGAUGAAAGCGGGGGAUCGUAAGACCUCGCGCCGAUGGAUGAGCCCAUGUCGGAUUAGCUAGUUGGUGAGGUAACGGCUCACCAAGGCGACGAUCCGUAGCUGGUCUGAGAGGACGGCCAGCCACACUGGGACUGAGACACGGCCCAGACUCCUACGGGAGGCAGCAGUGGGGAAUAUUGCGCAAUGGGCGAAAGCCUGACGCAGCCAUGCCGCGUGUGUGAAGAAGGCCUUCGGGUUGUAAAGCACUUUCAGAGGGGAGGAAAGCCUCAGGGUUAAUACCCCUGGGGGGUGACGCUACCCUCAGAAGAAGCACCGGCUAAU